GAGAAGAGAAAAGAGAGGAAACAGCAGGGAAGGAGGAGGAAGGGGAAGGAAGGAAAUGGUGUGGCUGCUUCAGGAUUCAGAGAUGUGAGAUGUAGAGGCAGAGGGAAGCAUGUAGCCCCAACUCUGGGAGAAAGCAGGACCGUGAUCCCUGAGCUACUUCUGCCACGCUGGGCAGCUGGUGGAGGCAGAGAGGAAGAGGGACAGGGGCUUACUGCGAUUGCAGGAGCCCCGAUGGAUAGAGAUGGCAUCCAGAGAGAUGUCCAGCCUUCGGAGGAUGCCGUGAAAACCAGACAGAGAACACGGGAGCGCUCUGGGAAAUGGAAACUACAAGGGUGGAAAUGUAAAAAUCCAACGGAGAGAAAUGAAAUGAGAGCAGGAGAGAAGGAAGGCAAGAAAGACACUCGGAGAAUCCGUCCGGGAAGUCUAACAUCCAACCAAAAGAGUUCAAAAUAGAACCAAGGAGAAGAAAAGGCUUAAGAGAAACCACACAAGAAGAUUUCUCGGGACCGAGAUACAAGUCUCUUGAUUAGAAGGGGUCUCACAUGAUGAAUGCAAGGACACCCACGGAAGGCAUGUCAUAAGAUUUGAGAGUAGCAGGGGGCAAGAGAAGACCCUAACCACUUUCAGAUAGAAAAAAGCAAGUCACAUACUAAAGGAUCAGGAAGCAGCGUCAGGCUUUUCAAUAGCAACCAUGGGUUCUAAGAGGCCGUGGAACAUUGUCUGCAGAAUUCCAACAGAAAAUCACUUCAAACCUAAAAUUCUAUAGGGGGCAACAGCGGCAUAAACGAUUGGCUGGUCAAAUAAGGUGGAACUGGAAACGCUUAAUGGCAAAGAACAGAAAAACACAAGUCCCAGAGUGCCAGACGAGCCACCAGCCAGUAAACAUCAGAAAAGAUGUUGUGCUUCACUUGUACUAAGGAAAAUGCUAAUCAAAACUACAACUGUGAUGGUGACCACCAUUUAAGAGACUGAAAGCGUUGCGCGUUGGCCAGGAUGUAGGUAGACACACUCAAACACUCUGACGCUAAGACUGUAGGGUGGGGAAAACUUCUUGGAAGGUAAUGCGACAGUGACUCUCAAACUUUGUAGCGUGCAUGGUUUUGACCCCGCCUUACCUUUCUAGGAAUCUCCCCACAGAAAUCCGUGUGUAUUUGCCCAAAUCUGGGCACACCUCAAAGAUGAUCACUGUGGCAUGGGUUAUAAUGGGGAAAAAAAAUCGAGAUUACUUAAAUGUUUACCAGCAGAUAGGCAGUUGGAUCAUAGUCAAGGAAUAUUUUUCAUAUGAAGGAAUAUUAUGGAGGUAUUAAAAAGAAUGGCGCUCCUCCAAAAAUUAAAAAUAGGCUUAUCAUAGGGUCCAGCAAUUGCACUUCUGGGUGCGUAGACCCAAAAGAAUUGAAAGCAAAGACUUGAAGAGAUGCCUGGACACCCAUGUUGAUAGUGGCAGUACUCACCAUUGCCAGAAGGUGAGAGCAACCCAAGAGUCCACAAAACAAACAAAAUAGGGUGUAUUCAUACAAUGGGAUAUCAUUCCAUCUUUGAAGUGAAGGAAAUUCUCACACAGGCUACAACCUGGAGGACACAAUGCUGAGUGAAACAAGCCUGACACAGAAGGACAAAUAGCAUAGGAUUCCACCUAUCCAAGGUACCUACAGCAGUGAAACUCAUAGAGACGAGAAGUAGAA